AACGAACGCUGGCGGCAGGCUUAACACAUGCAAGUCGAGCGGGGGAAGGUAGCUUGCUACUGGACCUAGCGGCGGACGGGUGAGUAAUGCUUAGGAAUCUGCCUAUUAGUGGGGGACAACAUCUCGAAAGGGAUGCUAAUACCGCAUACGUCCUACGGGAGAAAGCAGGGGAUCUUCGGACCUUGCGCUAAUAGAUGAGCCUAAGUCGGAUUAGCUAGUUGGUGGGGUAAAGGCCUACCAAGGCGACGAUCUGUAGCGGGUCUGAGAGGAUGAUCCGCCACACUGGGACUGAGACACGGCCCAGACUCCUACGGGAGGCAGCAGUGGGGAAUAUUGGACAAUGGGGGGAACCCUGAUCCAGCCAUGCCGCGUGUGUGAAGAAGGCCUUAUGGUUGUAAAGCACUUUAAGCGAGGAGGAGGCUACUUUAGUUAAUACCUAGAGAUAGUGGACGUUACUCGCAGAAUAAGCACCGGCUAACUCUGUGCCAGCAGCCGCGGUAA
rnacentral:rRNA from 1 species